UAUGAAAAAUUACACUCUUGGGAGUAGGGUUAUGAAGGGGAAAUUAGAUGCAUGAGAAGGGAGUGAUCUUGGGGGGUUGGGUGGGGUGCAGGGUUAUGGUCAAUCUCAAGUGUGGCACAAGCGGUAUCCGAUACAGAUUCUCACAAUACUCUCUGAGUCAAAUGGUCUUUUGCAUAUGGCUAAGAAAUAAUAAUAUUUCGGUUUCAUUACUAUUCGUUUUCUGUAUUAGUACUUUAAAAUUUUUGUAGGUUUUGUACCGUCAGAAUUUAGUACUAUUAUGCUAAAAAGUGGUCAAGGUGUCCAAGUCUGUUAGAUAUAUAUGUAUUAGGGGUAUUUUGGUAUUUAUAAUAGUAUGAUGGCAAUUUAGGUAUUUUGUAUAGUUUUAAUAUAUUAGGGUUUUGUAUAUUGUAAAAUUAUUCUUCCUUUUGACGAAAAUAAUAAAAAAAUACAGCGAUAUUCUUCAUAGUAUCAAAGCCACCAUGAUCCUGUCAUCCACCCUACCCCGCCCGCCGCCGCGCCUAUCGCCGACCGCCGCGCCGCCCGCUGCGCUAUCCUUUCUUCUUUCCUUCGGUCUGCUGUUUGUCAAGGCUGUUCUGACUUCUCCUCCUAGGUUGGAUUGUUAUUAAGUUGUGGCUUAGAUUUCUCUUCAAUUCAAAUAUUGCCCAACCAUGUCUGCUUCUUUUAUGGGUGUUCUUUCUCCAACCCCGCCUAUUGCUACAUAACGAUUGGUUGGGGGUUCUAACUAUGGCCUAAAGUUGUCCAAUUUUACAAAAUGUUAUGAUCUCUGGAGACAUGCGAAGACUUUAUAUACCAAUGAUAUUCAGCCUUCUACAGCGUGGUAUCUAAUUUGGUCAAUCUUCGUCAACCCGGAUUGACAAUUCCAGAGUAUCUCGGUAAACUUUCAUCCAUCAAAGCUGAACUCAAUUCAGUUUUACCUUCAGGGAAAACGGUUGCGGAGGAGCUUUCUCAGCGUGAUACAUUCUAUAUGGUGUGUGCACUAGUUGGUUUUGGUCCAAAUUUGAGUCCGGUUCGUGAUCAACUCCUUUCCAGCUCAACAGUUCCGACUCUUGAUGAUGUUUAUUCUCGCUUAUUACGUGUCUCCUCUGUGGCACAUCCGAUUAUUGAUUCUAGAGACAAAUAUGCUCUACUAGCUUUACCUUCUUCACAUAUGUGAGGUGAUCCUAGUCCUCAUGGGAGCUCUCGUGGGAGCUCUCGUCCAUGCUGCACUUAUUGCAACAGGUGGGGCCAUACUUGUGAUAAAUGUUUUAAAUUGCAUGGCCGGCCACCUCGGGCUAUUGUUGCGCAGGUUGAAACUCCUCAGUUAUCGGUAAUUCUGUCACUUUGACUGGUUCAGACUAUGAUGAGUAUCUUGCAUACCAAGCAUUAAAGCAGUUAUCUCAUUCACCCGUUGCCUCUGUCGCUCACACUGGUACCUUUCUUGGACCAUGGGUCCUUGAUUCUGGCGCUUCUCAUCACCUAUCUGGACCGCAGAACGGGGAGGACGAUUGACAAAGGACUUGAGCUCCAUGGACUGUACCACCUUGACCACCCUCCACCACCUUCACUCCCAAUUGCAUGUUUCACUGCCAGUUCUCCUCAACUUCUACACCAACGGCUGGGUCAUCCGAGUCUCUCUAAGUUGCGUCGGCUUGUUCCAAGUCUUUCUAGUUUAUCUUUAUUGUCCUGUGAGUCGUGUCAGCUAGGAAAACAAACUCGCGUUUCGUUUCCCCGGCAGGUUAAUAAUAGGGUUGAUAUGCCUUUUGCUUUUGUCCACUAUGAUAUAUGGGGUCCGUGUCGAACUACUUCUGUAUUUGGGUUUCAGUACUUUGUUACCUUUGUUGAUGAUUUCUCAAGAUGUACUUGGCUUUAUUUGAUGAAAGAUUG